AACGAACGCUGGCGGCAUGCCUAACACAUGCAAGUCGAACGAGACCUUCGGGUCUAGUGGCGCACGGGUGCGUAACGCGUGGGAACCUGCCCUUAGGUUCGGAAUAACUCCCCGAAAGGGGUGCUAAUACCGGAUAAUGUCUUCGGACCAAAGAUUUAUCGCCUUUGGAUGGGCCCGCGUUGGAUUAGCUAGUUGGUAGGGUAAAAGCCUACCAAGGCGACGAUCCAUAGCUGGUCUGAGAGGAUGAUCAGCCACACUGGGACUGCGACACGGCCCAGACUCCUACGGGAGGCAGCAGUGGGGAAUAUUGGACAGUGGGCGAAAGCCUGAUCCAGCAAGGCCGCGUGAGUGAUGAAGGCCUUAGGGUUGUAAAGCUCUUUUACCCGGGAUGAUAAUGACAGUACCGGGAGAAUAAGCUCCGGCUAACUCCGU
rnacentral:rRNA from 1 species